CCAAGGAGGUGGACGAGCAGAUGAUCAACGUCCAGAACAAGAACUCGUCCUACUUCGUGGAGUGGAUCCCCAACAACGUGAAGUCCAGUGUGUGUGACAUCCCGCCAAGGGGCCUGUCCAUGGCGUCCACCUUCAUUGGCAACUCAACCUCUAUCCAGGAGAUGUUCCGGAGGGUGAGCGAGCAGUUCACAGCCAUGUUCAGGAGGAAGGCUUUCUUGCACUGGUACACAGGCGAGGGCAUGGACGAGAUGGAGUUCACUGAGGCAGAGAGCAACAUGAACGACCUCGUGUCGGAAUACCAGCAGUACCAGGACGCGACCGCCGACGAGGAGGGUGAGUACGAGGACGAGGAAGAGGAGAUGAACCCCGACGACAUGUGAGAUCUGUGACCAUGAGGCUCUGGUGGUUGUAGCCUUCUAUGGCAGGCAGAUUUCGAUGGGUUGUUCCUUGCGUGUUUUGUUGCCAUGUUACUACUGCUAGCGUACCACCGUCCUGCCC
rnacentral:lncRNA from 1 species